AGCAGAUAGCAGAGACCAUUAAAACGCCGUUAUAAACGCCGUGCGCCUCAGUCGUGGAAAGCAGUUCCGUUCGACACGCAGCAACACGCAACUACACCGAUUUACGGAUAAUAGCAGCUGCUAAGCCCAGAAGCACGUCACAACCGUCAGUAAUGACGUCACCGUCAUCAUGAUGACGUUGAUUCUGCGUCUGACGCUGGUGGCCGCCGCUGUCUCCGUCGCCGCCGGCGGUUGUCCCUUCCGUUUCAAACCAUACGGAGACAAAUGCUACUGGGUGUCCAACUAUCUGAGCCUAUAUAAGGACGCCGUGCAUGAGUGUCCUAGAUUACACAAUGGCGCAACAAUGGUUUCCAUUCAUGACGCCGAAGAAAAUACGCUGAUAGCCAAAGAGGUUCUGGCUACAACUACUGGAAUUCGGAGGACCGGUUGGAUUGGCCUGUCCAGAGCCAACAGCUCUGCCCCGUGGACCUGGGCCGACGGAAGUCCAUACGAUUUCAGUCUCUGGUACAUGGACGACGCGGACUCUGUCGGCGGCGACUGUGCGCUUAUCAACUAUGAUGACUGGGGCCUGUGGGCCGGCCUUGAUUGUGCCGAAAAGUACGAGUAUUUCGCAUGCCAGGUGGCUGCCACGUAAUAAAUAUCGCUGGUACA